rnacentral:tRNA from 1 species
GCGGACAUGGUCUAGUGGUUAUGACAAGCGGUUGCCAAUCGCUUAGCGGGAGUUCGAUUCUCCCUGUCCGCA